ACCCGCAUACCAGUGAAAAAUGCCCUAACACAGUAUAAAUGGAGCAGGUAUCAGGCACAUAUAUUAGCCCAAGACACCAAGCUAUGCCACACCCACACGGGCCAUCAGCAGUGAUAAACAUUAAGCAAUAAGCGAACAUACAAACUUUAAAGCUUGACUUAGUUAUGAUUAACAGGGCCGGUAAACCUCGUGCCAGCCACCGCGGUUAUACGAGGGGCCCGAAGCAGCAGACAUCGGCGUAAAUAGUGGCUAGAAUAGUUACCAAUACAUUAAAAACUAAACCCCAGCCUAACCGUAAAACACAGGCUAAAUGAAACCAAACAUUUUUAACAAUAGGUAAUUUGACCCACGAAAACUAAGAAACAAACUAGGAUUAGAUACCCUACUAUGCUUAGUCGUUAAUAUGAUAUUAUACCACUAAAAUAUCCGCCAGAAAACUACGAGCGAAAAGCUUAAAACUCAAAGGACUUGGCGGUGCUCCACACCGACUUAGAGGAGCCUGUCCUAUAAUCGAUAUCCCACGCUAAACCUCACCAAUCUUUGCCAAAUCAGCCUAUAUACCGCCGUCGACAACCUACCUCAUGAGAGAAAAACAGUAAGUACAAAAGUCCAAUAACUAGAACGUCAGGUCAAGGUGUAGCUAAUAGAAUGGAAGAGAUGGGCUACAUUUUUU
rnacentral:rRNA from 1 species